rnacentral:snRNA from 1 species
AAUUGUUCAUCAGCCUUCUGGCUAUGAUCAAAUAUAGUAUCCAUUUGUAUCAGUUUUACAUCUCAUAUUUCUCUAUUAGAGAACAGUGUAUUUGAUGUGUUUUUCUAGCUGGGAGAUGGAAUAAGAGUUUGAGUCACUGAUUCCAGAAGUCCUGGUACUUCAGUGCUUCUGAAAAUGUUCACCCCUC